rnacentral:lncRNA from 1 species
CGCUGUCGCGACCCAAAUAAGUAUUGCCUCUAUAUCUUAACCACGGUCAUGACACUGAAGACUACCUGCAGCUCUAUGAUGAAAUUGAGAGGCUCAUCAGGCAGGAGAGAUUGAAUCAUUUCAUUUGAGGGAGAGUGCCUCUAUGGCGACCUCUUUUGGAAGCUCAGCGGCCACCUCCUCUACCUUAGCAGCCAUUUCCUUUACCUCAACCAUACCCAGCAUCAGUGUAGCUGGCG